GAUGAAGAACGUAGCGAAAUGCGAUAAGUAGUGUGAAUUGCAGAAUUCCGUGAAUCAUCGAAUCUUUGAACGCACAUUGCGCCUUCUGGUAUUCCGGAAGGCAUGCCUGUUCGAGCGUCAUUUCAACCAUCAAGCCCCCGGCUUGUGUUGGGGACCUGCGGCUGCCGCAGGCCCUUAAAAGCAGUGGCGGGCUCGCUGUCACACCGAGCGUAGUAGCAUACAUCUCGCUCUGGGCGUGCUGCGGGUUCCGGCCGUUAAACCACCUUCAUAACCCAAGGUUGACCUCGGAUCAGGUAGGAAGACCCGCUGAACUUAAGCAUAUCAAUAAGCGGAGGA
rnacentral:misc_RNA from 1 species